rnacentral:rRNA from 1 species
CAUGCAAGUCGAACGAAGUAGCAAUACUUAGUGGCAGACGGGUGAGUAACAUGUGGGUAUCUGCCCUUUGGCCUGGAAUAACACGAGGAAACUUGUGCUAAUACCGGAUAAGUCUUUACGGAGAAAGCUUUAUGCACCAUUGGAUGAGCCCGCACUUGAUUAGUUUGUUGGUGGGGUAAUGGCCUACCAAGACUGUGAUCAAUAGCUGAUUUGAGAGGAUGAUCAGCCACAUUGGGACUGAGACACGGCCCAAACUCCUACGGGAGGCAGCAGUGGGGAAUCUUGCACAAUGGAGGAAACUCUGAUGCAGCGAUGCCGCGUGAGUGAAGAAGGCCCUUGGGUUGUAAAGCUCUUUCGUCGGGGAAGAAAAUGACUGUACCCGAAUAAGAAGGUCCGGCUAACUUUGUGCCAGCAGCCGCGGUAAUACGAAGGGACCUAGCGUAGUUCGGAAUUACUGGGCUUAAAGAGUUCGUAGGUGGUUGAAAAAGUUAGUGGUGAAAUCCCAGAGCUUAACUCUGGAACUGCCAUUAAAACUUUUCAGCUAGAGUAUGAUAGAGGAAAGCAGAAUUUCUAGUGUAGAGGUGAAAUUCGUAGAUAUUAGAAAGAAUACCAAUUGCGAAGGCAGCUUUCUGGAUCAUUACUGACACUGAGGAACGAAAGCAUGGGUAGCGAAGAGGAUUAGAUACCCUCGUAGUCCAUGCCGUAAACGAUGUGUGUUAGACGUUGGAAAUUUAUUUUCAGUGUCGCAGCGAAAGCGAUAAACACACCGCCUGGGGAGUACGACCGCAAGGUUAAAACUCAAAUGAAUUGACGGGGACCCGCACAAGUAGUGGAGCAUGUGGUUUAAUUCGAAGAUACGCGCAGAACCUUACCAACAC